rnacentral:rRNA from 1 species
CGUUCCCGGCUUGUACACACCGCCCGUCACACCACGAAAGUCGGCAACGCCCGAAGCCAGUGGCCCAACCCCUUUGGGAGGGAGCUGUCGAAGGUGGGGUCGGCGAUUGGGGUG